rfam:Sphingomonadales bacterium GWF1_63_6 gwf1_scaffold_1144, whole genome shotgun sequence.
CAGCCCGUCAUCUGGGGAGUAGCCAGCCGUUCCGCGUUACGGGACGGGCCGUAUGUCAACAUAUUUGGCCGAGAGGCCGUGGCAUAGGGGACGCGGACAUGCCCGCGUAAGGCGAGACCAAUGGCAUCGGCGUUUCCAUGUCCGGCCGGGCGGGGAGCGACGGUGGCAUUGCGUCGUUCACUUCCGCCC